rnacentral:tRNA from 1 species
GCAGCUGUAGUUCAGUGGUAGAAUUCUCGCCUUCCACUUGGGAAACCCGGGUUCAAUCCCCAGCCAAUGCA